rnacentral:tRNA from 1 species
UGGGGUGUAGCUCAGGAUAGAGCACUCACCUGGUAUGUGUGAGGCCUUGGGUUCAGUUUCCAGUACUUCAC